CUCCUUCUGGGAAGAAGGAAGGGUGUGAAAGCAACCUGGAGGUGGGAGAGGAUGCUGUGCACCCCUUGCUGAUCACCCGAACCCCAGGGGUUGGUCCUGGGUCCAGGGAUUUCCCGGGUAUCUCUCCGGGCUCUGGACAGGGACCCAGACACGGCCUGCAGAGCAGCUAUGGCUGAGUGGGGCAGAGAGGUCCCAUCCUGGUGGUCUGGGGACCCGGCCUCACCCUCUCAUUCUCCCUUUGCUUGCUGUUUCCAGGGCCACGGGGGUUCCGUGGCUGUUCUUAUGGGGUUCACAUGGCUGCAUGUGAAGAGGCCGCCCCAAACCACCAAGGGUGUCAGAGCUCAGCCCAGUGGCCUGGAGCACGUCUGGGCAGUGGUGUCAGAGCCCCACACCACUCCCCAUCUCUGGGUACCUCCUCUUGACCUGACCUUGGAUCAUUUCUCCUUAAUGCCUAGGGUUCUGGAUUUUUUAUUUCCCCAGGGCUGGGGAUCGAACAUAGGCCUUGCACACCAUAGACAAGCACUCUCCCACUGAGCUCCACCCCGCUCGGGGGCCUCUGGACUCUUAACCAGCUUAGCCUCCCUCCUCUGAUCCCAGCACGGAAGUAAACAAAGACCAUCCAACCAACAAGGACUCUCGCUCAGGAGUGAUGCCAUGGCAGGACGGGGAGAGCUUCAGAGUGGACAGGAGACCAUUUCCGGUGUGCCUGGCAGGAGGCUUCCAGCCUAGGGAUCAGGAGGCAGCUACCUGGACGCGGGACACCCCAUUUAAUUGGCCAGAGGAACAUAUUUGGCUUUUGCUUGGAAAAGAGGAUAAGUUGGAAACAGAGAGCACGGGAAGAGAAUAUUGUGGCUGCAGUUCUUGAAAACCCUGCCUCAUACUGUGGCUUUGGGAAGACAGAGAAGCUGACUGCAGGAGCUCCACCUGCACUUCCUGCUCCAGAUGCUCCCUCCAUGGAGACCCCUGGAAUAAACCAGAGUGGGGCCCCAAAUGCCAAGGAACUUCUUGCCAUCACCCAUUUCUGAUGGCUAUUGCCAGCCCCAGCAGGAAGAGGAGAAGCUGGACUGAAGGUGGUAAAGAAGCCCAGAAGAGGCUGCAGUCUCUGCAAAAGCACUGAGAUGCAAAGGCCCCACUCCUCUGAGCUGGUUUUGAACUUCUGGCUUCAGGAGAUCCUCUUGCCUCAGCCUCCUUGAAUAGCUGGCACUACAAGUAUGUUCCACCGUACCCAGCUUGCAUCAGUAGUUGAAGUGCUGGGGGACCAAAUCCUGCAUGCUAGGAAAGUGCUCUACCACUGAGCUACGUCUGCAGCCCAAGGUCACCAUUUUGCCUGCCCACCAGCAGUGUAUGUGGGUUUAGGGUGAUUCACAGCUUUGCCAGCGCUUGGUGCUGUCAGUCUUGUUAUUUCAGACUUCACAGCAGGACUUUGACACCAUCCAUCUAGGUAGAACCUCUGGCUAAGCUCCCAGGGAGGAGGAGAAAUGCCAAUUUUACAGAAAACUCAAGAAGAUCCAUUCACCUGCUUCCUGGGAGAACAGAUGGUAUUUUGCCUGAGGAAUAUGAAGAAUGCAAAUUUGCUUUCUCUCACUCAGGAUGGAGUUGGUGCUUAUAAAAAGAUACACAGACUAAUAAAUGCUGCCAGUUUGCAAAGCCAACUUAUCCUAGUUUUUUGACAACAAAAUGGUACAUCCUGCAAGAUGUUACUUCUCCACUUGAAACACAUUUUUCAUCAAGCCAAAUAAGUUGCCACAGAUGCCACACCUCCUUCUUACAUGUGUCUUCCUGCCUCUGCCUCCCAGAGUGCUGGGAUUACAGGCAUGUGCCACCAUGCCUAGUCCUACAAACUUCCUCAAACUGUGGAGUCAGGGUUCAUCUUGAUCUGUGUCAGGUCUGAAUACAGUGCCCUCUGGGUCUCUGCUGAGGCUGUCACGUGACACCAGAGUGAAGAGCAGAGGUGACCAAGGGGGAGUGGUCCUUCAGACCCUGGCUGUAGCUCCUAUUCUGUAUCUGGGAAGACUCCUAGCUCUGGCCUCUUGUGAACCCCAGGAAGGAUGGGACUUCUGAGUUCUCUCUGAGCUUGUCAUGCAGUGCCAAUAUUACACUGUGUACUACAUUA